rnacentral:rRNA from 1 species
AGAGUUUGAUCCUGGCUCAGGAUGAACGCUAGCGGCAGGCUUAAUACAUGCAAGUCGAGGGGCAGCGCGGUAGCAAUACUGGCGGCGACCGGCGCACGGGUGCGUAACACGUAUACAAUCUGCCUUUAACAGGGGGAUAGCCCGGAGAAAUCCGGAUUAAUACCCCAUAACACUAAGAGUAGCAUUACUUUUGGUUAAAAGCUCCGGCGGUUAGAGAUGAGUAUGCGUCUGAUUAGCUAGUUGGUGAGGUAACGGCUCACCAAGGCGACGAUCAGUAGGGGAUCUGAGAGGAUUAACCCCCACACGGAUACUGAGACACGGAUCCGACUCCUACGGGAGGCAGCAGUAAGGAAUAUUGGACAAUGCCCGCAAGGGUGAUCCAGCCAUGCCGCGUGCAGGAAGACGGCCCUAUGGGUUGUAAACUGCUUUUACACCGGAGAAAACCUCCCCUCGUGAGGGGAGCUGAUAGUAUGGUGAGAAUAAGCAUCGGCUAACUUCGUGCCAGCAGCCGCGGUAAGACGAAGGAUGCAAGCGUUAUCCGGAUUCAUUGGGUUUAAAGGGAGCGUAGGUGGCCUUAUAAGUCAGUGGUGAAAUCUCUGGGCUUAACCCAGAAAUUGCCAUUGAUACUGUAGGGCUUGAGUAUAGUUGCCGUUGGCGGAAUAUGACAUGUAGUGGUGAAAUACAUAGAGAUGUCAUAGAACACCGAUUGCGAAGGCAGCUGACGAAACUAUAACUGACACUGAGGCUCGAAAGUGUGGGGAUCAAACAGGAUUAGAUACCCUGGUAGUCC